rnacentral:misc_RNA from 1 species
CUUUUUGGUAUAUUACCCCUCAAAUUUCAGAGCUCAUAUUCCAGUCAGGUUUAACAAGGCUGACCAACUUUAAUGUGGUGUUCUUAUGGGUUUACGGAUUUGGAUUUUUGAGUUGUAUUAUGAAAUUGUUGGAGUUCUGAGUGGUUACAGUUGUGAGACCGUGUUGCACUAGCAUCUUCCAGUUACCAUUAUCUUUCUCCAGCAUGUGAGCUUUCAUUAAGGGUUCGUUCAAGGAAUAAGCAGUAUAAUACCGACUUAGAGUGUAUCAAGAGAAAAGAAGAGAAGAGUCUGGCAGUUUUAAG